CACACUCUUGAUGACUUGUAGUUCUCAAGUCUUGACUUUUGAUUGCAUCUUAUUGACAAAAAACAUCUCAGCAAUCAUGAUUUCAAAUGUUUCUUAUGGUAUCUGAAUGUUGUAUCUUAGUUCAUUGUAUUUGAAUGUUGCAUCUUAAAGACUUAAACUAUUUGAUAAUUUAUUGGAAAUAUUACUUAUAUUUUUUUUAAAAAAUAAAAAUUAUAUAAGGCGAAUUUAAUGCCGAAUUUUUUUGCCCUUGUCGAACUUCAUCCGAAUUUCAUGGUUGCUGAACUCGAACUCGAAUUCAAAUGCGGUGACUUAGGAGGGGAGUCACAUGUGGACUUUGGUAGGUGUGUAAUAUUUAAAAAUAGGAUAAAUGUUAAUAGGGAUUAGGUUUAGGUUAAUUAGCUUAACGAAGGGGAUUAAAAGGUGGGUUUGUAGGAAUCACCAUAUUAAUUUAAUUAAUUGGGAUUAGGAGGGAGAUUGGAAUAUUCUCUAAGGUUGAGUUUAACUUCAGAGGAAAUGAGACAAAUAUAAUUAAUUAAUAAAAUAAUUAUAUGGAUGGAAGGGGGGAAUUAAUUAAAUAUGAUUUAAUUGAUUUGAGCAUAGAAAAGGGCUAACAUGAUCAAUAAGAUUAAUCAUGUGACACGGGGUAAUUAAUUUAAUUAAUUUUUAUGUGUACAUUUAUUAUUUUUGUCCUCAAAAUUAUUUCCGGGUUUAUAAUUUUUCCUCAAAAAUUAUUUGUAUGGGUUUUCAUAAUUUUUCCUCAAAAAUUAUUUGUGGGCUUUAUAAUUUUUUCCCUUCAAAAAUUAUUUUGGGUUCCACAAAAAAUCAUGGGAGGGUUUUGAUCUUUUUUUUUCCUAAAAAAUCGUGUUUCAUCUGUAAUUUGCAGAGUUGUUUGUUUGUGUGGGAUUUUGUUAUUCUUGGGUUUUAGCAUUUUUUUCCACAAAAAUGAUGAUUUGUAACAGUUUUCAGGGUUGGACGAUUUUUUCCACAAAAAUCGUGCUUUGUUGCAGUCAAUAUUGGGUUACACUUGGAGUUGCUGGGGCGAACAUUUGCAAACGUGUUUUGUUACCCAACAUCAUCUUGGCUCAGUAAUUCGUGUUUGACGGCUUUGUAAUUUACGUGUGAGGGUUACAUAAAGUUGGACGGAAUUCUGGUACUCUUGGUCAUUUCUAGAAGUUUUGCAGAAUCAAGGAGGGUCUCAGUAGCAGGCUCAUUUUGCAGAGUGUUCUGAAGAGAAGGGGGCGGCUUUCUCUAUGCAUUCGUGACCAGAAGGGGGCAGCCUUCUAUGCAUUUGUGACCAAAAGACUUGCAGAGAAUGUCUACUGUAGGGUAGUUAGAAUGAUGACCAUUAAGGGAGGGUAUUCAAAUAUUGUAAUGUUUCUUUAAUGGACAUCUUAGUUAGUUUAGAUUGUUUCUAAAUUUGUCUUCUGUUCACGAUUGUUUCAUUUAGAAACGUCGUCUUUGUAAAUCUAUUUAAGGAGACGGAUCUCUGUUUAAUACAAUCGAUUAUUUGAACAAAA